rnacentral:rRNA from 1 species
GGCAGACGGGUGAGUAACGCGUGGGAACAUACCCUUUCCUGCGGAAUAGCUCCGGGAAACUGGAAUUAAUACCGCAUACGCCCUACGGGGGAAAGAUUUAUCGGGGAAGGAUUGGCCCGCGUUGGAUUAGCUAGUUGGUGGGGUAAAGGCCUACCAAGGCGACGAUCCAUAGCUGGUCUGAGAGGAUGAUCAGCCACAUUGGGACUGAGACACGGCCCAAACUCCUACGGGAGGCAGCAGUGGGGAAUAUUGGACAAUGGGCGCAAGCCUGAUCCAGCCAUGCCGCGUGAGUGAUGAAGGCCUUAGGGUUGUAAAGCUCUUUCACCGGAGAAGAUAAUGACGGUAUCCGGAGAAGAAGCCCCGGCUAACUUCGUGCCAGCAGCCGCGGUAAUACGAAGGGGGCUAGCGUUGUUCGGAAUUACUGGGCGUAAAGCGCACGUAGGCGGAUAUUUAAGUCAGGGGUGAAAUCCCAGAGCUCAACUCUGGAACUGCCUUUGAUACUGGGUAUCUUG